rnacentral:rRNA from 1 species
CGCGUGGGAACCUGCCUUUCACUGCGGGACAACGGUUGGAAACGACCGCUAAUACCGCAUACGCCCUACGGGGAAAGAUUUAUCGGUGAUAGAGGGGCCCGCGUCUGAUUAGCUUGUUGGUAGGGUAAUGGCCUACCAAGGCGACGAUCGGUAGCUGGUCUGAGAGGAUGAUCAGCCACACUGGGACUGAGACACGGCCCAGACUCCUACGGGAGGCAGCAGUGGGGAAUAUUGGACAAUGGGGGCAACCCUGAUCCAGCAAUGCCGCGUGUGUGAUGAAGGCCUUAGGGUUGUAAAGCA